UGUGUAGAGGAAAUGUCUUCCUCCCCUAUAGUGUGUACCCAAACGGGAAGGGCAUUAGUGGCAGGAUUGUCUGCACCAUCCCCAGAGAGAGAAGGGAUUGAACAGGACCGAGCCGCGGCACCUUCCCUUGGCUACAGAUGAGAUGUGAUGGGGCUGUGGGUCUCCCCAGUUGGCUCCAGGAGCCCACUGGUGACCUUGGCAGUAGGAGGAGAGGAUAUUGAACUUUUUCUCAAUAAUGGAGCCAGGUUCUCAGUGUUGAAUGCCCCAAAGGGAAACUUUUACAAAGGAAAGUGUGACAAAGAAGAAAGGUAUCAGGAAAAAGAGAGACCAGAAGGUUUCUGGAGCCCUUGAUCUGUGAAAUAGGAUCAAAAAUGCUGAAGCAUUCUUUUCUGUAUGUUCCAGAAUGCCCUGUUCCCCUCCUAGGGAGGGACAUGACAUCUAAGUUAGGGGCCUCGAUAAGCUGGGAACAGGAGAAUGUGGACUUGUUCAAGACCUUAGUGCUGUCAAUGCUGAAUAGUACUGGAUUUAUAAUAGUAAAAUCUUCAUUUCGGUUCUGGCACAGAGCUCCUAUAACUUCUGUUAUUUCCCGUAUGAGAGCCAUACAGGCAUCUUUUCUUAUAAUAAUUCCUUUAGUCCUCAGUUCCUGAAAUAACUCCAGAGCAGUAAAGGUGAACUGGCUCUCUUUUGUUACUCCUAACAAGGUCCUUUCAACUACACCUGAAUUUCUGUUAAUAGGGUGACUUUUGGAAAGCCCCUAAGUGUAGAGGCUCUAUCCAGGGGAACAAAUUGUGUGAUUAGAGGGUUGGAACUUUCAGCCACAUUCCCUUCCCUACACCUACAAGGAGGGGAGAGGGGCUGAAGAUUGAGUUCAAUAUGGGGUUCAGAGAGCUUCUGGGUUGUGAACACAGGGAGAUUUGGGGAGAGCGGCAUGCCCAGAGAGAGCUUGGGAGCUCCACAUCCUUCUCCCACGUGUCUUGCUCUAUGCAUCCCCUCCAUCUGGCUACUAAGUAAAAUGUUUUCCUGAGUUCUGUGAG
rnacentral:lncRNA from 1 species